CUCUCCCUCUCUCAUUCUCGCCCUGUCUCUUGGACAUGCUCUUUCCACUCGAGAGCUUUGUCUCCACAAUUGCCUUCAAUUGAGCUCAAUUCGCUGUGGCUUUGCUUUCGUUGAUUGUUGCACUUGACUUGAUGAUGAUCAGCUGAUGGCAGAGCCAAAGUUACAGCCGCCAGCACACCAGUGUGUUUGUGUGUGGACC